UCUCUCACAACUUUAGAAUCCAGAAGUCCCCAGUUAAGGUGCUGGCGAGGUUGAUUUCUCCUAAGGAAGAGAUAUGUUCCAGGCCUCUCUCGUUUGGACUUAUGGACAGUAUCUUCGUGUCAUAUGUGUUGCCCCAGUGCCAUGCCGCUCUGCCUUGGAGCCAGCUGAUUAUGGACUGAAACCUCCACAAACUUGGCUAGGAUGUGAGCAGCUUCCCUCCGCCAGACCCUUCUGCCAUGCCCUUCCUGCCUUGGAACCAGCUGAGGAUGGAGUGAAAACAGGAGCCAGAACAAACCUUUCCUCUUUUCAGCUGAGGGUGUUGGGUAUUGUGUCUCAGUGAUGAGGAAAAUGACCAAGACUCCAUGUCUUUAAUGGCUAUUUGAUUUUCCCAGUUUUAUUGCUCAUGUGAUAAAUCACAUUCUUGAUUAAAACUAAUCUUGAAGUUUUGGUGGCCAUUCUAUACCGUUACUUUAUAUAUCAUUAAAUUUCAUUUACUAACACUUUCUAAAGGAUUUUUUUAGUGUAAUUGUGAGGUUUGGUAUCCAGGUAGGUUGUAUUUCUGCUAUUAUUUGCUGAGUUAUUUCUGUAAAAUCUUAUUUACACCCAUUAAUAAGGUAUCAUUUUGUCUUUAAGUGCUCAAUAUAAUUCAGCAGUGAAGCCAUGUAGGUACAGCGUUU